rnacentral:tRNA from 1 species
GCCCUGUUAGCUUAGUGGAAAAGCAGCGGUAUCGUAAACCGCGGACGUCAGUUCGAUUCUGACAUAGGGCU